AGUGAACGCUGGCGGUAGGCCUAACACAUGCAAGUCGAACGGCAGCACAGUAAGAGCUUGCUCUUACGGGUGGCGAGUGGCGGACGGGUGAGGAAUACAUCGGAAUCUACUUUUUCGUGGGGGAUAACGUAGGGAAACUUACGCUAAUACCGCAUACGACCUACGGGUGAAAGCAGGGGAUCUUCGGACCUUGCGCGAUUGAAUGAGCCGAUGUCGGAUUAGCUAGUUGGCGGGGUAAAGGCCCACCAAGGCGACGGUCCGUAGCUGGUCUGAGAGGAUGAUCAGCCACACUGGAACUGAGACACGGUCCAGACUCCUAAGGGAGGCAGCAGUGGGGAAUAUUGGACAAUGGGGGGAAGCCUGAUCCAGCCAUACCGCGUGGGUGAAGAAGGCCUUCGGGUUGGAAAGCCCUUUUGUUGGGAAAGAAAAGCAGCAGGUUAAUACCCCGCUGUUCUGACGGUACCCAAAGAAUAAGCACCGGCUAACUUCGUG
rnacentral:rRNA from 1 species